UGCAGAGGGGGCAAGCGUUGUUCGGAAUUAUUGGGCGUAAAGCGCGCGCAGGCGGUCCUUUAAGUCUGAUGUGAAAGCCCACGGCUCAACCGUGGAGGGUCAUUGGAAACUGGAGGACUUGAGUACAGAAGAGGAAAGCGGAAUUCCACGUGUAGCGGUGAAAUGCGUAGAGAUGUGGAGGAACACCAGUGGCGAAGGCGGCUUUCUGGUCUGUAACUGACGCUGAGGCGCGAAAGCGUGGGGAGCAAACAGG
rnacentral:rRNA from 1 species